rnacentral:rRNA from 1 species
UGGGGAAUAUUGGACAAUGGGGGCAACCCUGAUCCAGCAAUGCCGCGUGUGUGAAGAAGGUCUUCGGAUUGUAAAGCACUUUCGACGGGGACGAUGAUGACGGUACCCGUAGAAGAAGCCCCGGCUAACUUCGUGCCAGCAGCCGCGGUAAUACGAAGGGGGCUAGCGUUGCUCGGAAUGACUGGGCGUAAAGGGCGUGUAGGCGGUUUACACAGUCAGAUGUGAAAUCCCCGGGCUUAACCUGGGAGCUGCAUUUGAUACGUGUAGACUAGAGUGUGAGAGAGGGUUGUGGAAUUCCCAGUGUAGAGGUGAAAUUCGUAGAUAUUGGGAAGAACACCGGUGGCGAAGGCGGCAACCUGGCUCAUGACUGACGCUGAAGCGCGAAAGCGUGGGGAGCAAACAGGUUAGAUACCCUGGUAGUCCACGCUGUAAACGAUGUGUGCUAGAUGUUGGGUAACUUUGUUAU